rnacentral:rRNA from 1 species
AUGGCCGGUGGUAAAGGAGUGCAGCAACGCACCACCUCGGGUGGUUCCCAGUCGCCGGCUCCGGAGGAGCGGCGAGGGCGCAGCCGCUCCAGGCGCGGCCAUCGCGGUGAGGUCGUGGUUAGGGAGAUCGUGCGCGAGACCGCAAUCAGCGGUAGCGUGCCCAUCACCUUCCCGAUGCUCACGCGCUCGAACUACAGUGAGUGGGCGUUGAUCAUGGAGUGCAACCUUCAUGCGGCGAGCCUCUGGGCUCCCAUGGAGGACGACCUGAUCGAGAGAAAGGAGGACAGGAAAGCCGUGGCAGCCCUCAUGCGCGCCACGCCACCGGAGAUGCACGGCAUGCUCGCGGCAAAGGCAAGCGCCAAGGAGGCGUGGGAAGCCAUCCGUACCCAGCGCCUCGGCAGCAACCGCGUGCGUGAGGCGAACGCGCAGAAGCUGCAGGCGGACUUCGAGAACAUCGCCUUCAAGGAGGGUGAGCUCGUCGACGAAUUCGCCAUGCGGAUCUCCAGCCUUGCGUCACAGCUCCGCGCGCUCGGCGACACCAUGGACGACACGAGAGUCGUGCGGAAAUUUCUCCGCGUCGUGCCAUCUCGCUUCGCUCAGGUAGCGGUCUCCAUCGAGACCUUGCUUGAUCUGAGUGAGCUCUCCGUCGAGGAGCUCACGGGCCGGUUGCGGGUGGUCGAGGACCGUCUUGACGACGGCCGCGAGAGCUUCGGCGGCGGACAACUCCUAUUCUCAAAGAAGUGGGAGGCGAGGAAGCGUCAAGGACGUGGUGGCGGUACCCAGAGCAGCAGAGGCGGCGGUCGCACCCAGGGUGGAGCCGGGCGAGGUGCCGGCAACGACGACCGGGACAAGUGCCGAUAUUGUAGCAUCAAGGGCCACUGGGCCCGUGAGUGUCGCAAGAGGAUGGCUGAUGAGGAUGCCGCGGCCGCGGCGAACCUCGUCGAGGCUGAAGAGGACGGUGGGCCAGCAAUGAUGAUGGCUUGCGUCGAGACCAUGCAGGAGGGCACAGCGCCUCCGGCAACCAUGGUCCCGACAAGCAUCGAAGCCGUGCAGGAGGGCGCAGCACCUCCGGCGACCAUGGUGCCGGCAACCGUCAAGUCUGUGCGGGAGGCACGGAGCUCUUCAAAUAAUCCCCUCCCCACAUCGGUAGCGCUCUCCCCGACAACAACGUUCUCGGGAGAUUUCGAUUGGGAGGAGAUGAAGACCCGGGUGUGGGGGAGCCACACCCCGGCAACCACGUCCCUUGUGACGCUGGUCAAGCCCGUGCAAGUUGGCACGGCAAUCGCGGCCCCGACAUCCUCGGGACCCGACAAGCCCGUGCAAGUUGGCACGGCAAAGGCGUACCCGACAUCCUCGGGACCCAAUAAGCCCGUGUCAGGAGGCACGGCAACAACGCAUAUGGUGGGCCAUGUCCCAACCAUGAUGCUGGUGACCAGUGAGAUUGUGCAAGAGGCACGACACUCUCAGGUCGGCCAUACCCCGACAACCAGGUUCUCGGGGUUCUGCAAGCCCGUGUGGGCAACACGGCACUCUUCGACGGGCCUCAACAGCUGGGAGGCCAUGAAGAGACGGUCAUGGGGCGGCAAGACCUCGACCGUGACUCUGGCGACCAUCGAGGCUGUGCAGGAGGCGCGGUGCUCUAUGGUCAGCCACGCAGCAACCCUGACGCGCUCGGGGUCCAUCGAGUCCGUGCGGAAGGCACGACUCACAACUGUCGGAGGAGACCCGACAAGCAAGUCCGAUGGGAAGAACACCAAGGACGUCGCUACCCUGAGAGGAGCCACUCCGGGCAGUGCGGCGUCCGGCACAACGACCCCAGGAAGGGAGUUCCUGGGUAGUGCGAUGUCCGACAAGUCAUCCCCGGGAAGGGAGUUCCCGGGCAGUGCGGCGUCCGGCACGACGACCCCGGGAAGGGAGUUCCCGGGCAGUGUGACAUCAGGAACUACGACCCCAGGAACACUGACGCCCACGAGCGAGGUGGUUCCCGGGCAGUUCAUGUCCCCGUCAACAGCGCGGUCGGACUUGUUCGAUGCCAACAAAAAUGGUGGCGAUCCACACAGGUUCCGAAGCCUGGGGGGACCUUCUCGAGCCCGCGAGACGAUCGCAGCACCCGAGAUCAAGAAGCACGAACAGGGCGUACGGGCCGCCGAGAAGGCGGACAUCCCAACGAAGGUACUUGGUUGCGUCGAGUUCCAAGAACCGCGCAACAAGAUCGGGAUCAUCGACAUCAAGACCCUCCGACAUGGUUGA